AGCGCAGGCGGUGCGGCAAGUCUGAUGUGAAAGCCCGGGGCUCAACCCCGGUACUGCAUUGGAAACUGUCGUACUAGAGUGUCGGAGGGGUAAGCGGAAUUCCUAGUGUAGCGGUGAAAUGCGUAGAUAUUGGGAGGAACACCAGUGGCGAAGGCGCCUUUCUGGACUGCGUCUGACGCUGAGAUGCGAAAGCCAGGGUAGCGAACG
rnacentral:rRNA from 1 species